UACGCCAUGUGAGUCACUUCACGAUAGAAAAAAAAUAGAGGUUAUGUUUCCCCACAUGUACAUUCGCCAUUUUCCCCCGAAGAGCGCAGGCGCGCUCAAAGUUUCCAGCACGUGAUGCACUUGACGUUUUGUUUCGGUACACGAACCCCACAAAUCUGAGCUCAAAGGGCCCAAAUUUAACAAAAACAACAAGAAAUUUGGUUAAUUUGAUUCAGCGGUUGAGUGGUGAAGGGAGAUGUUAAUUUUUGGAAAUGGAAUUCGCUUGGAGUGGACGGGGUUGGGGAAAAAUGUGGCAAAAGAACUCCUUUAGAACUAGGAGAUAAUGACGAACUGCACUGCUGUUCUUGGAACUGGGGGUAGAUCCAAUUUUUCAACUGAAGACACUUCUGCUGGCUCUUCACGGCUUUCUCUCGAUGCAUUUUUCUCCAAAUUACCUUCGACGUGAGAUUCAACCUUUGAUUCACAUUUCUUGGAGUCCAUGGACAGCUUAGAGAGGUCCGAGGUUACUAUAGGCACUGAUCUCAACGGUUUCUGGAAUAAAAAAAUGCAACAUUUAAAAUAUUUCAGUCAAGGAAAAAGCUUUUCGAUUUUAAUUAACACGAAUUAAUGUAAACAACACGAUUAAAUCUGGAAUUGGAAUUAUUUCAAUGUCUUGAAAGUUCAAAAAAGGAAAAAUCUAUUGCAUUGCAUUCAAUUUUUAGAUAAAAAGCUAAUCAAUUUCCAAAAAAAUGCAUUCAUACAUUUGUCUGUUGACGUUUGAUAAAAAAUUACUCAAUAACAUAUCAAAGAUAUGAAAGAACUUAUAAUUGACGAUUCGACUCCUUAAUCUGUUCAGGAUUACAAAAAUUACAUUUGACAUGUCAAUUAUUAAAUAAAAUAAAAUCGUACAACUCA